rnacentral:rRNA from 1 species
AACGGACGAGAAGCUUGCUUCUCUGAUGUUAGCGGCGGACGGGUGAGUAACACGUGGAUAACCUACCUAUAAGACUGGGAUAACUUCGGGAAACCGGAGCUAAUACCGGAUAAUAUUUUGAACCGCAUGGUUCAAAAGUGAAAGACGGUCUUGCUGUCACUUAUAGAUGGAUCCGCGCUGCAUUAGCUAGUUGGUAAGGUAACGGCUUACCAAGGCAACGAUGCAUAGCCGACCUGAGAGGGUGAUCGGCCACACUGGAACUGAGACACGGUCCAGACUCCUACGGGAGGCAGCAGUAGGGAAUCUUCCGCAAUGGGCGAAAGCCUGACGGAGCAACGCCGCGUGAGUGAUGAAGGUCUUCGGAUCGUAAAACUCUGUUAUUAGGGAAGAACAUAUGUGUAAGUAACUGUGCACAUCUUGACGGUACCUAAUCAGAAAGCCACGGCUAACUACGUGCCAGCAGCCGCGGUAAUACGUAGGUGGCAAGCGUUAUCCGGAAUUAUUGGGCGUAAAGCGCGCGUAGGCGGUUUUUUAAGUCUGAUGUGAAAGCCCACGGCUCAACCGUGGAGGGUCAUUGGAAACUGGAAAACUUGAGUGCAGAAGAGGAAAGUGGAAUUCCAUGUGUAGCGGUGAAAUGCGCAGAGAUAUGGAGGAACACCAGUGGCGAAGGCGACUUUCUGGUCUGUAACUGACGCUGAUGUGCGAAAGCGUGGGGAUCAAACAGGAUUAGAUACCCUGGUAGUCCACGCCGUAAACGAUGAGUGCUAAGUGUUAGGGGGUUUCCGCCCCUUAUUGCUGCAGCUAACGCUUUAAGCACUCCGCCUGGGGAGUACGACCGCAAGGUUGAAACUCAUAGGAAUUGACGGGGACCCGCACAAGCGGUGGAGCAUGUGGUUUAAUUCGAAGCAACGCGAAGAACCUUACCAAAUCUUGACAUCCUUUGACAACUCUAGAGAUAGAGCCUUCCCCUUCGGGGGACAAAGUGACAGGUGGUGCAUGGUUGUCGUCAGCUCGUGUCGUGAGAUGUUGGGUUAAGUCCCGCAACGAGCGCAACCCUUAAGCUUAGUUGCCAUCAUUAAGUUGGGCACUCUAAGUUGACUGCCGGUGACAAACCGGAGGAAGGUGGGGAUGACGUCAAAUCAUCAUGCCCCUUAUGAUUUGGGCUACACACGUGCUACAAUGGACAAUACAAAGGGCAGCGAAACCGCGAGGUCAAGCAAAUCCCAUAAAGUUGUUCUCAGUUCGGAUUGUAGUCUGCAACUCGACUACAUGAAGCUGGAAUCGCUAGUAAUCGUAGAUCAGCAUGCUACGGUGAAUACGUUCCCGGGUCUUGUACACACCGCCCGUCACACCACGAGAGUUUGUAACACCCGAAGCCGGUGGAGUAA